UGGCUCCGUUGGUAGAGCAUGGUGUUUGCAAUGCCAGGGUUGUGGGUUUGAUUCCCAC
rnacentral:tRNA from 1 species